rnacentral:rRNA from 1 species
UCGUAACAAGGUCUCCGUAGGUGAACCUGCGGAGGGAUCAUUACCGAGUGUGGCGCUCCGGCGCCUCCCUCCAACCCCAUGUCGAAACGACUCUGUUGCCUCGGGGGCGACCCGGCCUUCGGGCGUCGGGGCCCCCGGUGGACACCUUCAUAACUCUUGCAUCUCUUGCGUCUGAGUGAUACAUAUAAUCAAUCAAAACUUUCAACAACGGAUCUCUUGGUUCUGGCAUCGAUGAAGAACGCAGCGAAAUGCGAUAAGUAAUGUGAAUUGCAGAAUUCAGUGAAUCAUCGAAUCUUUGAACGCACAUUGCGCCCCCUGGCAUUCCGGGGGGCAUGCCUGUUCGAGCGUCAUUACACCACUCAAGCCUGGCUUGGUAUUGAGCGCCGCGGCCUGCCCGCGCGCUCCAAUGUCUCCGGCUGAGCCGUCCGUCUCUAAGCGUUGUGAAUAGCGAUCGCUUGCGAGGCCCGGGCGGUUCGACGCCGUUAAACCCCCCAUUUUCUAUGGUUGACCUCGGAUCAGGUAGGGAUACCCGCUGAACUUAAGCAUAUCAAUA